rnacentral:rRNA from 1 species
CCUACGGGUGGCAGCAGUGGGGAAUAUUGCACAAUGGGGGAAACCCUGAUGCAGCGACACCGCGUGAGUGAAGAAGUAAUUCGUUACGUAAAGCUCUUUCAGCAGGGAAGAAAAUGACAGUAUCUGAGUAAGAAGCCCCGGCUAAAUACGUGCCAGAAGCUGCGGUAAUACGUAGUGGGCAAGCGUUAUCCGGAUUUACUGGGUGUAAAGGGCGCGUAGACGGUGGGCCAAGUCUGGUGUGAAAUGCCGAGGCUUAAUUGCCGAACUGCUUUGGAAACUGGUGAACUAGAGUGCUGGAGAGGUAAGCGGAAUUCCUAGUGUAGCGGUGAAAUGCGUAGAUAUUAGGAGGAACACCGGUGGCGAAGGCGGCUUACUGGACCGUAACUGACGUUGAGGCUCGAAAGCGUGGGGAGCAAACAGGAUUAGAUACCCCUGUAGUC